rnacentral:rRNA from 1 species
CACUCCUACGGGAGGCAGCAGUGGGGAAUAUUGGACAAUGGGCGCAAGCCUGAUCCAGCCAUGCCGCGUGAGUGAUGAAGGCCCUAGGGUUGUAAAGCUCUUUCACCGGUGAAGAUAAUGACGGUAACCGGAGAAGAAGCCCCGGCUAACUUCGUGCCAGCAGCCGCGGUAAUACGAAGGGGGCUAGCGUUGUUCGGAUUUACUGGGCGUAAAGCGCACGUAGGCGGACUAUUAAGUUAGGGGUGAAAUCCCGGGGCUCAACCCCGGAACUGCCUUUGAUACUGGUAGUCUUGAGUUCGAGAGAGGUGAGUGGAAUUCCGAGUGCAGAGGUGAAAUUCGUAGAUAUUCGGAGGAACACCAGUGGCGAAGGCGGCUCACUGGCUCGAUACUGACGCUGAGGUGCGAAAGCGUGGGGAGCAAACAGGAUUAGAUACCCCGGUAGUCCCA